rnacentral:lncRNA from 1 species
UAAUUCUGUUUGGAGCAAAAUUGAUAGAGCCAUGGUAAAUGGAAAUUGGAUGCUUGAGAGUUAUGACAGUUUUGCAAACUUCCUUCCAUCGGGUUGCCUCUCCGACCACUCACCUUGCAUUGUGUCAAUUUUUGGGGAAGUUGAAAGGAAGAAAAGGCCAUUUAAAUUUUUUAACAUGUGGACAUGCCAUGAGGACUUUCAUGAUGUGGUAUCAAAUGGUUGGAAUCAAGUUUUUUUUGGUUCUAAACAAUUCUCACUUUGUAAGAAAUUACAGAGUCUUAAAGGGGUGCUAAAAAAACUCAACGACAAGCACUUUGCUCACAUUUCCUCUAGGGCUGAUUAUGCUACUAAAAAGUUGGAACUGGCACAAGUUGAAUUACAUAAUGAUCAGAUAAAUCUUCAACUAAAGUCUGAGGUUGCUAGAUUGAGGAAGGAGGCUACUAUGCUAUGUGAAGCGGAAAGGAAUUUUUAUUACCAACAAGCAAAGUGUGUUCAUUUGAAGAAUAGUGAUAAAUGCACCAAGUAUUUCCACUCUUUGGUCAAGAGAAAUGCCAAGAGGAACUUCAUUCCGGCAGUUAUCAAGAGGGAUGGUAAUUACUCUACUUCCCAAGAAGAGGUGGCGACGGAAUUCACUCACUUUUAUAGUGAAUUAUUGGGACAAAGCGGGUGUGGACAGCAUUUUAAUGAUGAAAUUCUAAGUAACGGUCCUAAAUUGUCGGGGGAAAAUGCCAUGUUGCUUGUCCGGGACAUCACGAGACAAGAGAUUAAAGAUGCCCUCUUUAGUAUUGGGGAUGACAAAUCACCCGGUCCGGAUGGUUACACAUCUUGUUUUUUUAAAAAAUCAUGGGAUAUUGUUGGAAAUGAUUUCUUGGAGGCAAUUGAAGAAUUCUUUGCAACGGGGUCUCUACUCAAGCAAACCAAUCACACUAUCAUUGCUUUGGUACCAAAGGGUAAUCAUUCUACUUCUGUUGAGGAUUAUAGGC